AAUAAAAUAUAUACUUUAAUUCGAAAAUGACAUGAAAUGACCAUUCUUGGGGGAAUUUAAUUAAAUUGAACCAUAAGAUGAUCAAAGUAUUAGUCGAAUACAAUAAAAUAAAUAAGAGAGGGAAAGGAAGUAAUCAAAUUUGGGCCAAAGCUGCUGAUUUUAAAUCAGUUCCCGUUUUUGUAUACGCAAGUCGUAUAUCAGUGCAUACGACUCGUAUAUCAGCCUCAUUUCCUGUAUUUUGAACCAUAUACCAAAUGUAUACAAUCCAUUUUGACCCCUGCAACCUGUAUUUCCAUUUUUAAACCCGUAUUUGUUGAACUAGACCCGUAUAUCAGUGUAUAAAGGCUGUAUACAGCAGGUAUACAGUCCCUUUUCAGCCUUUUCGGACAUCAAAAAUUCACUUCCAGCCCAUGUACUUCCCGUAACCUGUUCGUCGGCUAUUUUUGGACUCGAUAGGAAAACAUAGAAUUGGGCCUAUGAAGCCCAAUCCACGAAACGCAAAGGGAGGGAGCCUCCAAAGACUCGGAAAGAGGCAGCUCAUGCAUAGAAAAAGAAUAAAACAAGAUAGAAAUUAGAAAUGAAUCAUACUUUAAAGUUUUACAAUAUAAGUAUAUCACUAAGGCAUAAAAAAUAAUAAUAAUAAGGUGAAACACAUGAUUGAUUAGUUCACUAUACUAAUACUAUGCAAAGGUGACGAAGGAAAGCACACAAUAUCCAAUAAAUCUUUCUCCUAUAUUGACUCUCAUAUGAUAAGAUGAAGUGCUAGAAAUAUGGUUACAUAUAGGCAAUUAGACUAGUGAUGACCAAAUGAGUAAUAUGUUUAUGCCUAACUAUCUAGGUAAAGACAAAUGAUAAGGUGGCAACUAUUAAUCAAAAAUGGGGUGAACUGUAGGAAUAUAUGUCACUUAAGCCUAAGAUGCGGCACAAUGCUAAACAAAGAUGAUAAUAAAUCCAUGUGUUAAUAAAAUGGAACAAACCUAAGCAUUUGUUCACGAGCAAAAUAGUAGGCAUGAGGAAAUAAAAUAAAACAAAAAUCGAUAUCACUUAAACUCUCAAUCAAGACAGAGGAAUAACAUCUAAUUUAUGCAAAUCUCAAAAGAAGCAUGACUAUUCUUAAANNN
rnacentral:lncRNA from 1 species